UGAAAAGACGGCCGUAGAGGUGUUAAUUUGUAAAGUUAAUUAUAGAGCUUAACUCUUCUUUUUAG
rnacentral:tRNA from 1 species